UUGCACGCUGGCGGCAUGCUUUACACAUGCAAGUCGCACGGUAACAGGCCUUCGGGUGCUGACGAGUGGCGAACGGGUGAGUAAUGCAUCGGAACGUACCCAGAGGUGGGGGAUAACGCAGCGAAAGCUGUGCUAAUACCGCAUGUGAUCUGAGGAUGAAAUCGGGGGACCGAGCAGCAAUGUUUGGCCUCGCGCCUUUGGAGCGGCCGAUGUCGGAUUAGCUAGUUGGUGGGGUAAAGGCCUACCACGGCGACGAUCCGUAGCUGGUCUGAGAGGACGACCAGCCACACUGGGACUGAGACACGGCCCAGACUCCUACGGGAGGCAGCAGUGGGGAAUUUUGGACAAUGGGCGCAAGCCUGAUCCAGCAAUGCCGCGUGCGGGAAGAAGGCCUUCGGGUUGUAAACCGCUUUUGGCAGGAACGAAACGGUGUCCGCUAAUAACGGGCGCUAAUGACGGUACCUGCAGAAUAAGCACCGGCUAACUACGUG
rnacentral:rRNA from 1 species